GUUAAGUGUCAUAUUACCGUAUAUAAAAUUCUCUCAUGCUAACAACUGGCAUACUAUCAAUUUCUCCUGAAGAGCAUAGAAACUUCUUCUGACAACAUAAGUCAAGUCAGGAACCAUCAGAACCUACAACUCAGAAAGAUAACCAGGUCGCCAAUCAUUUACUCAACUAUUCCACCAUCCAGUAUUGUAUGGUUGAAUCAGAAAUCGUGCUAAAACAUGUUUUUAACCUGGCACUUCAAAGUAUUCACAUUUUCAACAAUAUGCUUUCAGCAAAUGAAUUGUGUCAUGAAAAUUCCAGCUUAAGUCUAAAUGGAUCAGCCAUAAAGGCAAAUUAUCUGUUGAACAAUAUAGUCAGCUUCUGUAAAGAAUGUACUUUCUAUGCCAAAUAUGAUCUUUCCACAGUUGAAUAAACACUUGGUGCAAUGAAAUUGCUGGCAGUCCUCUUGGUGGUUUCUGUUCGUGUGUAUUUCCCUGACUGUUGUAUCUCCAUCUCAUACACUUUGCCAGUCAUUCAAAACAGUUAUUUCAUGCAUCAGGAAUAUCAAGAUGCUUUUGAGAUGGGUUAUG
rnacentral:lncRNA from 1 species